rnacentral:rRNA from 1 species
AACAGGAUUAGAUACCCUGGUAGUCCACGCCCUAAACGAUGUCUACUAGUUGUCGGGUUUUAAUUAACUUGGUAACGCAGCUAACGCGUGAAGUAGACCGCCUGGGGAGUACGGUCGCAAGAUUAAAACUCAAAGGAAUUGACGGGGACCCGCACAAGCGGUGGAUGAUGUGGAUUAAUUCGAUGCAACGCGAAAAACCUUACCUACCCUUGACAUGGAAGGAAUCCUGGAGAGAUCUGGGAGUGCCCGAAAGGGAACCUUCACACAGGUGCUGCAUGGCUGUCGUCAGCUCGUGUCGUGAGAUGUUGGGCUAAGUCCCGCAACGAGCGCAACCCUUGUCAUUAGUUGCUACGCAAGAGCACUCUAAUGAGACUGCCGGUGACAAACCGGAGGAAGGUGGGGAUGACGUCAAGUCCUCAUGGCCCUUAUGGGUAGGGCUUCACACGUCAUACAAUGGUACAUACAGAGGGCCGCCAACCCGCGAGGGGGAGCUAAUCCCAGAAAGUGUAUCGUAGUCCGGAUUGUAGUCUGCAACUCGACUACAUGAAGUUGGAAUCGCUAGUAAUCGCGGAUCAGCAUGUCGCGGUGAAUACGUUCCCGGGUCUUGUACACACCGCCCGUCACACCAUGGGAGCGGGUUUUACCAGAAGUAGGUAGCUUAACCGCAAGGAGGGCGCUUACCACGGUAGGAUUCGUGACUGGGGUGAAGUCGUAACAAGGUAACC